UGGGGAAUAUUGCACAAUGGGCGCAAGCCUGAUGCAGCCAUGCCGCGUGUAUGAAGAAGGCCUUCGGGUUGUAAAGUACUUUCAGCGGGGAGGAAGGCGAUAAGGUUAAUAACCUUGUCGAUUGACGUUACCCGCAGAAGAAGCACCGGCUAACUCCGUGCCAGCAGCCGCGGUAAUACGGAGGGUGCAAGCGUUAAUCGGAAUUACUGGGCGUAAAGCGCACGCAGGCGGUCUGUCAAGUCGGAUGUGAAAUCCCCGGGCUCAACCUGGGAACUGCAUUCGAAACUGGCAGGCUAGAGUCUUGUAGAGGGGGGUAGAAUUCCAGGUGUGGCGGUGAAAUGCGUAGAGAUCUGGAGGAAUACCGGUGGCGAAGGCGGCCCCCUGGACAAAUACUGACGCUCAGGUGCGAAAGCGUGGGGAGCAAACA
rnacentral:rRNA from 1 species